rnacentral:rRNA from 1 species
UACAGAGGGGGCAAGCGUUAUUCGGAAUUAUUGGGCGUAAAGGGCGCGUAGGCGGCCUGGCAAGUGGAAGGUGAAAUCCCUCGGCUUAACCGAGGAACUGCCCUCCAAACUGCUUGGCUUGAGUCCGGGAGAGGUGAGUGGAAUUCCCCAGUGUAGCGGUGAAAUGCGUAGAUAUUGGGAGGAACACCAGUGGCGAAGGCGGCUCACUGGACCGGAACUGACGCUGAGGCGCGAAAGCGUGGGGAGCAAACAGG